rnacentral:rRNA from 1 species
GGUUAAGCGACUAAGCGUACACGGUGGAUGCCCUGGCAGUCAGAGGCGAUGAAGGGCGUGCUAAUCUGCGAUAAGCGCCGGUAAGGUGAUAUGAACCGUUAUAACCGGCGAUACCCGAAUGGGGAAACCCAGUGUGACUCGUCACACUAUCAUUAACUGAAUCCAUAGGUUAAUGAGGCGAACCGGGGGAACUGAAACAUCUAAGUACCCCGAGGAAAAGAAAUCAACCGAGAUUCCCCCAGUAGCGGCGAGCGAACGGGGAGGAGCCCAGAGCCUGAAUCAGCAUGUGUGUUAGUGGAAGCGUCUGGAAAGGCGCGCGAUACAGGGUGACAGCCCCGUACACAAAAGCGCAUGUGCUGUGAGCUCGAUGAGUAGGGCGGGACACGUGGUAUCCUGUCUGAAUAUGGGGGGACCAUCCUCCAAGGCUAAAUACUCCUGACUGACCGAUAGUGAACCAGUACCGUGAGGGAAAGGCGAAAAGAACCCCGGCGAGGGGAGUGAAAAAGAACCUGAAACCGUGUACGUACAAGCAGUGGGAGCACAGGUUUACCUGUGUGACUGCGUACCUUUUGUAUAAUGGGUCAGCGACUUAUAUUCUGUAGCAAGGUUAACCGUAUAGGGGAGCCGUAGGGAAACCGAGUCUUAACCGGGCGUUAAGUUGCAGGGUAUAGACCCGAAACCCGGUGAUCUAGCCAUGGGCAGGUUGAAGGUUGGGUAACACUAACUGGAGGACCGAACCGACUAAUGUUGAAAAAUUAGCGGAUGACCUGUGGCUGGGGGUGAAAGGCCAAUCAAACCGGGAGAUAGCUGGUUCUCCCCGAAAGCUAUUUAGGUAGCGCCUCGUGAAUUCAUCUCCGGGGGUAGAGCACUGUUUCGGCUAGGGGGCCAUCCCGGCUUACCAACCCGAUGCAAACUGCGAAUACCGGAGAAUGUUAUCACGGGAGACACACGGCGGGUGCUAACGUCCGUCGUGAAGAGGGAAACAACCCAGACCGCCAGCUAAGGUCCCAAAGUCAUGGUUAAGUGGGAAACGAUGUGGGAAGGCCCAGACAGCCAGGAUGUUGGCUUAGAAGCAGCCAUCAUUUAAAGAAAGCGUAAUAGCUCACUGGUCGAGUCGGCCUGCGCGGAAGAUGUAACGGGGCUAAACCAUGCACCGAAGCUGCGGCAGCGACGCUGAUGCGUUGUUGGGUAGGGGAGCGUUCUGUAAGCCUGCGAAGGUGGCCUGUGAGGGUUGCUGGAGGUAUCAGAAGUGCGAAUGCUGACAUAAGUAACGAUAAAGCGGGUGAAAAGCCCGCUCGCCGGAAGACCAAGGGUUCCUGUCCAACGUUAAUCGGGGCAGGGUGAGUCGACCCCUAAGGCGAGGCCGAAAGGCGUAGUCGAUGGGAAACGGGUUAAUAUUCCCGUACUUGGUGUUACUGCGAAGGGGGGACGGAGAAGGCUAUGUUGGCCGGGCGACGGUUGUCCCGGUUUAAGCGUGUAGGUGUGUGUUCCAGGUAAAUCCGGUUCACUUUAACACUGAGGCGUGACGACGAGGCACUACGGUGCUGAAGCAACAAAUGCCCUGCUUCCAGGAAAAGCCUCUAAGCAUCAGGUAACACGAAAUCGUACCCCAAACCGACACAGGUGGUCAGGUAGAGAAUACCAAGGCGCUUGAGAGAACUCGGGUGAAGGAACU